rnacentral:rRNA from 1 species
CAGCAGCCACGGUAAUACGAAGGGUGCAAGCGUUAAUCGGAAUUACUGGGCGUAAAGCGUGCGUAGGCGGUUUGUUAAGUCUGCUGUGAAAUCCCCGGGCUCAACCUGGGAAUGGCAGUGGAUACUGGCAAGCUAGAGUGCGUCAGAGGAUGGUGGAAUUCCCGGUGUAGCGGUGAAAUGCGUAGAGAUCGGGAGGAACAUCAGUGGCGAAGGCGGCCAUCUGGGACAACACUGACGCUGAGGCACGAAAGCGUGGGGAGCAAACAGGAUUAGAUACCCCCGUAGUCCCUGUCUCUUAUAC